rnacentral:rRNA from 1 species
CGGGAAUAUUGCGCAAUGGAGGAAACUCUGACGCAGUGACGCCGCGUAUAGGAAGAAGGUUUUCGGAUUGUAAACUAUUGUCGUUAGGGAAGAAAAAAGACAGUACCUAAGGAGGAAGCUCCGGCUAACUACGUGCCAGCAGCCGCGGUAAUACGUAGGGAGCGAGCGUUAUCCGGAUUUAUUGGGUGUAAAGGGUGCGUAGACGGGUUAGCAAGUUAGUUGUGAAAUCCCUCGGCUUAACUGAGGAACUGCAACUAAAACUGUUAAUCUUGAGUGCAGGAGAGGUAAGUGGAAUUCCUAGUGUAGCGGUGAAAUGCGUAGAUAUUAGGAGGAACACCAGUGGCGAAGGCGACUUACUGGACUGUAACUGACGUUGAGGCACGAAAGUGUGGGGAGCAAAC